AUUUAUACAGAUAAAUACAUCAAAAAUAUAAAGAAAAAUAAAGAAAAAUCUGAUAAUUGGGCUUGAAUUGAUUAGGGUUCGAUCGGUUUGAACUCAAUUGGUUUGAGCCCGGACUAAAUAGGAUGUUUACAGAUCAUAUCCCCUUUUUUUCCAUAUUACCUAUCCUCCUGAGAUUCCAAGGAUUGCAAUUGCUUCAAGUCUGCAUCCAUAGAAGAGAACCGAUUUGGUUUCAUCUCCUUUAACAUCUACAACUCAUGGCAAGCGUCAUCUACCUUGGUUUCAAUUUUCCUUCUCCUUUGUUGGAAAAAUAUGGUGGCCUCAGAACAUGUAUCUCAAUAUCUU
rnacentral:lncRNA from 1 species